GUGGAUUAGAUACCCUGGUAGUCCACGCUGUAAACGAUGGGUGCUAGGUGCCGGGGGGAGCGACCCCUUCGGUGUCGGAGCUAACGCGUUAAGCACCCCGCCUGGGGAGUACGGCCGCAAGGCUGAAACUCAAAGGAAUUGACGGGGGCCCGCACAAGCGGUGGAGCAUGUGGUUUAAUUCGAAGCAACGCGAAGAACCUUACCUGGGCUUGACAUCUACGUGAAACCUUCUGGAAACAGGGGGCCUUCUUCGGAACACGUAGACAGGUGCUGCACGGCUGUCGCCAGCU
rnacentral:rRNA from 1 species